GCCUCUUCCUGCCUCUCACUAGCUUCAUCCCUUCGAACCCGAAGGUACUAAGGUAAGGAACUAUUGGGAAGCAGGAACAGAC
rfam:Physcomitrella patens subsp. patens PHYPAscaffold_625 genomic scaffold, whole genome shotgun sequence.